rnacentral:lncRNA from 1 species
AGGCCAGGUUCCUGAGAGCAGACAGCGCGGGCGGGGAGCGCCGGCAAGGGCGGCCCUCGCGCGCCUGGCUGCCAGCCCGCAGGGGGCUCACACGCAGACCUGCCCUUGCCACCUCAGCGCUCGGGUGCGGGCUGGGGGCGGUGGAGCCAGGAAAGGUGGUGCGGAGAGCGGAGCGCAGGACAGCGCAAGAGCCCCGGCGCAGCGCGGCGCGCACAGACCCAGUGAGAAACUGAAGACAAGAGAGGGUGAGUGGCUUACCCAGUUUGGCACAACUGACCCCAACCUAGCCCUCCUUGAGGACUGAGUGCAUGAGAGAUCCUGAGCCACAGCCUCCCAGCCCUGCUCCUCUCGAAUUUCUGACCUACAGGAACUGCAAGAAGUAAUGAAAGACUGCUGUUUAAAGCCACUGCAUUUUGGCAUGAUUUGUUAUGCAGUCAUAGGUAACCAGAAAACAUCGGAUUUACAUUUUAAGAUAAACUUUUUAUUGAAAUAUCACAUACACACAGAGACGUCCGCAAAUUGGCUCGAUGAGCUUUCUCAAAGGAAACACAUU